UCCCUGGCAGUCCAGGGGUUAGGACUCAGCACUUUCACUGUUGAGGGUCCGGGUUCAAUCCCUGGCCAGGGAA
rfam:TPA: Bos taurus chromosome 13, whole genome shotgun sequence.